GCUCUUUUUGCUCACACGAAAUUGAUCAGAGAGAGAAAGAUUGAUAGGUUUCCAUUUUGGUUAAACCCUUCCUUUUCAAUCUGUGCGAAGACAAUGGAUCAAGCAUUCAAGAUCACGUGGUUCUGCGGCGGCGGCGGCGCCAUCGCGGUGAUACUGCUCUGGUGUGUGUUUCAUCCACCGUCGGUAACCUGUAGACGGUGAACACGGUUGUUGUGAUGGUGGUUUAUGGUCUCUGGUCCUCGGUGUUAGCAACGACGGCUAGGGUUUUUAAGCGAGAUAUGAACGACGUUUGUUCCAGUUAGGGUUCCGACGAUCGACAACUUGUGGGUUGCUGAGAUGACAGAGAUGGUGGUUGGAGCUAUAUCAGCUAGGGUUUCCGGCAAAGAAGGAAACGCAGCGGUUACUCAGCGAACCAGGUGAAGUUGUUUUUCUUUUUGUAAUUUUUUUGUGUGUAUGUUUAUUUGAAGCGGGUGAAUUUUUGUGAUCAAGCGGGUCCGAUUUUGUGAUCAUAUUUAACUCAUUUUCUAUUUAUGAAGUUUCUUAAAAGGUUUGGCCUUUAAUAAGACAUGACCCGUGUCAACUUGAACUGCUCUAGGCUUAGACCAUAUCGACGACACUUGAUCAAUGGUGAAUAUGAGCUGGCAAAUAAAGAGAAACUAAGACUUGAGCAGUUACAAAGACAGGCGAGGAGUGAGGUCUAGCAUGCAACAACACAUGAUCUAGCAACUACUUCAAGAUAUGAGUAAUGGUGGCGGUGGGCAGAAUCCUUCGGUUUCUGGGCAGAGUCCUGCUAACAGGAAUAUGGGUCAGGAUGGUUUGAGACACGGGAUUUCAAAGGCUCACUUUGCACGCUUAGAGGAAAUGUUAACUGGAUGAAGGCACGGGGCUCUUUUCAAAUGCAAAGAGUUUGGUCUCUCAAAGAAUGAAGUGAUGAAACAUCAUCCUAUCAUAGAUGCCAGCUCAUCAAAUUCAGAGAUGAAGAAAAGCAUAUGCGAACACUUGUGAAAGAAGAUUUUGGUCAACCUGACAGAGUAAAUACCAUGAGGAUGAAGUGAGAGGAACUACCAACCAGGAUGCUUGGUUUAAAAAAGUGUUUGCAGCCCUGCGUACAACCUUCUUUUAAAAUCUAUUUGCAAUGGAGGAAAGAUGAUAAUAUCAACCUUCAGGUAAGGCGGGUUUGAUAGUUUUAGCCUUGGCUUUGGAAAGCGCGCCUUGGCGCAAGGCAACCCCAGGCACAACCACUAUCGCUUUUGUGCAAGUAAGGGGGUAUUGACAACCUAUCAAAGCCAAAGACAAAGCACACAUGAAUCGGUUGAAAAGAAGGUGAAAGUCGGUUAUAAGUGGGAUUGAAAGUUAUGUAUAUAUAUAUGAAAGUUACGUGUGUAUAUAUAUUAGUCUGUCCUACCAUUAAUUUUAAUGAUCCGAUAACAAUGCGUUUUAAAUGUUUGAAUACUUGUGACUUGCAUUCUCUUUACCAACAGCCUUUGAUGCAAAAUCCAUCUGACCUGUUUGCA